UGCAUGUCUGUAUACACUGACCAAGG
rnacentral:piRNA from 1 species